GCCUACGGGGGGCAGCAGUGGGGAAUAUUGCACAAUGGGGGAAACCCUGAUGCAGCGACACCGCGUGAGUGAAGAAGUAAUUCGUUAUGUAAAGCUCUAUCAGCAGGGAAGAAACAGACGGUACCUGAGUAAGAAGCCCCGGCUAACUACGUGCCAGCAGCCGCGGUAAUACGUAGGAUGCGAGCGUUAUCCGGAUUUAUUGGGUUUAAAGGGUGCGUAGGCGGUCCGUUAAGUCAGCGGUAAAAUUGCGGGGCUCAACCCCGUCGAGCCGUUGAAACUGGCAGACUUGAGUUGGCGAGAAGUAC
rnacentral:rRNA from 1 species